GCUGUAUAAUCUCUGUCUGGUUCUGUGAUUGUUUCUGUCUGCUGUAUAAUUAAUUCGUUGGGUGUAAACUGAUUAAGUUGGUGGGAUAUAAUUGUUAGAUAAUCAUUUACAUUAUAUCAGG